UGUUCACGCCUUUAGUCAGCUAGAGUAAGCAGUUCCAGGUUAAUAUCUGCAGUAAUCCUUUACUUAGAAUAUUUAACAACAUUUAAAGCUUUAUGGUAGUAAGGGUUUCGAGAUAUAGUGUUUGAGAUGCAAUACAGUUAAUUAAUUGUUUGUUUUGCAGAUUUGUUUUGACAAUACACUGUUACAGUUUUGGAAACAUUGUAUCUUGAACUGCAUUCAGUUUCGAAGCAACAGAUCUUCCAAAAAACUUCAUACAGAAAAAUCAAUUGAAUUGGAAAAAAUAUUGUGGUGAUCAAGACUUGUUUCGGUUGGUAGAAUCCAAAUGCGCAGUCGAAUAUGAAUGAAAGAAUGAAUGAUAUUGUUUUGUUUCUUCCGUCACGGUCACGAAGACAUAUUAUUAAAGAAUUAGAAUGGUAAAGCAGAACUUACUGCACUCAAGAAAUGCCGCUUCUGAAAUCAAUACUAUCCAUCCGUAAAUGAUAGCAAUUAUGGAAGUUUUUUGCUGUACAGUUAUUAGCCAAUACAUACAGUUAGCAAGAAAUUUGGAAGGUUUUACCUAAAUACAGUAAAAGUCAUAUGUAGCUUAAUUGCUUGAAGAAGCUUGAAUGGUAGCUAUAUGUAUAUUGUAAGCGUUCCUCUUUAAAUAGAAUCUGAGCAAGUUAGACUUUAUUUAAUAUUAUUUAUAGUGCUGUAUAUAGGCGUUAUAGCGAUAUAAUAGGAAGAUACUAUAGUUGCAGUGUUAAGGGGGUUUAGUUGACUUGAGAAAAGAAUGAACAGAAAUAUUAAGAAACAUGUUUUAGAACCAAGUGUAACUUUGCUGAAAUUCUAUUCGAAAUAUAAAAGUCAUUUCUGAUGAAAUUUUUGCUAAGACUUCCAUUAUAUCUACGUUUCCGCUGCAACACAGAAUUUGGAUAAUUCUCAUUUAGCUCGAAAAAUUAGCUCAAAAUAAAUCGUUGGCUCUGGACUACUGAUCUGUAAUUUCACGCUGAACGCCUUGGACAUUAAAAAAAUACACCAAUAUGAUAUAUGUUACUAUACUGGACUCCCUGCUGGUCUGGCUUUGCGUAUUAGCAUCUGAGACCCUAAAAUGUGGAUUGUAUUUUGUCGUACAUCUCAUCUUGAAUGUUAUGAAUGGACGUUUGCAAGGAUGAAAACUUAGUAGACGUUUGCAAGCUUUUUUAGUUUGGAAACUGACAUAAAUUAUGUGGACAUACACUACACUAAAUAGAACUUUGUAAAGACUAGGAACAUUCUGAAUUAAAUGAAAUUAUGGAAAUUGAAGAUAAAGUCUACCCUAAUUAUAGAAUACAAAGUUAUGGGAUCUAAUAGAAAAAUAAUCUUCAAUUGUGUCUAUAUUGCGAUUUCUUAUCCAUUCCCCAGAUUACAAGAAACACACCGCACUCACAUCGGAGUCGCAACUUCCAUCUUCACCAGAAAUGGCGCAAGAGGGCAAUGACGUCACGAUGCAUAAGUACCAACGUAAAGUUUUCUGUGAUGGUUUAUCCCCGCGCCUCACAAACAACAAUUGUUUUAUCUACGUUGGCCUCAUCAACGCUGUAUUGGGAUAUCAAGUAACGCCCUUUACACCCGCCUCCGAAAUGAUGAACAGUAUACCACCGAAACCCUUGGAGGGGGAAAUGCACGAAAUGUUG